GAUCCUGGCUUAGGACGAACGCUGGCGGCGUGCCUAACACAUGCAAGUCGAGCGAUGAAACCCUUCGGGGUGGAUUAGCGGCGGACGGGUGAGUAACACGUGGGUAACCUGCCUCAAAGAGGGGGAUAGCCUCCCGAAAGGGAGAUUAAUACCGCAUAACAUUAUUUCUUCGCAUGAAGAGAUAAUCAAAGGAGUAAUCCGCUUUGAGAUGGACCCGCGGCGCAUUAGCUAGUUGGUGAGGUAAUGGCUCACCAAGGCAACGAUGCGUAGCCGACCUGAGAGGGUGAUCGGCCACAUUGGAACUGAGAUACGGUCCAGACUCCUACGGGAGGCAGCAGUGGGGAAUAUUGCGCAAUGGGGGAAACCCUGACGCAAGCAACGCCGCGUGGGUGAAGAAGGCCUUCGGGUUGUAAAGCUCUGUCUUCUGGGACGAUAAUGACGGUACCAGAGGAGGAAGCCACGGCUAACUACGUGCCAGCAGCUGC
rnacentral:rRNA from 1 species